UACGUAGGGUGCGAGCGUUGUCCGGAAUUACUGGGCGUAAAGAGCUCGUAGGUGGUUUGUCGCGUUGUCCGUGAAAACUCACAACUCAAUUGUGGGCGUGCGGGCGAUACGGGCAGACUGGAGUACUGCAGGGGAGACUGGAAUUCCUGGUGUAGCGGUGGAAUGCGCAGAUAUCAGGAGGAACACCGGUGGCGAAGGCGGGUCUCUGGGCAGUAACUGACGCUGAGGAGCGAAAGCGUGGGGAGCGAACCGG
rnacentral:rRNA from 1 species